rnacentral:rRNA from 1 species
AGUUCGUCGAUCCGAAUGCGUCGACGCAACUUCUUAGAGGGACAAGUGGCUUUUAGCCACACGAGACUGAGCAAUAACAGGUCUGUGAUGCCCUUAGAUGUUCGGGGCCGCACGCGCGCUACACUGAAGGAAUCAACGUGCAUUUGCCCUUGCCCGGAAGGGUUGGGUAACCCGUUGAACCUCCUUCGUGCUAGGGAUUGGGGCUUGUAAUUCUUCCCCAUGAACGAGGAAUUCCCAGUAAGCGCGAGUCAUAAGCUCGCGUUGAUUACGUCCCUGCCCUUUGUACACACCGCCCGUCGCUACUACCGAUUGAAUGGUUUAGUGAGCUCCUCGGAUUGGUCCCGACACGGUGGGCAACUAUCGAGUCGGUGUGCCGAGAAGACGAGCGAACUUGAUCAUUUAGAGGAAGUAAAAGUCGUA